CCUACGUGAGGCAGCAGUGGGGAAUAUUGCACAAUGGGGGAAACCCUGAUGCAGCGACGCCGCGUGAGUGAAGAAGUAUCUCGGUACGUAAAGCUCUAUCAGCAGGGAAGAAAAUGACGGUACCUGACUAAGAAGCCCCGGCUAACUACGUGCCAGCAGCCGCGGUAAUACGGAGGGGGCAAGCGUUAUCCGGAUUUACUGGGUGUAAAGGGAGCGUAGACGGGAGUACAAGUCUGGAGUGAAAUCCCGGGGCUUAACCCCGGAACUGCUUUGGACACUGGGCGUCUGGAGUGCAGGAGGGGUAAGCGGAAUUCCGGGUGUAGCGGUGAAAUGCGUAGAUAUUAGGAGGAACACCGGUGGCGAAGGCGGCUUACUGGACUGUAACUGACGUUGAGGCACGAAAGCGUGGGGAGCAAACAGGAUUAGAUACCCCAGUAGUC
rnacentral:rRNA from 1 species